rnacentral:lncRNA from 1 species
AAAAAUUGGUUUAAAGUGUGGCGUUGGGAUGGAUAAAUAAUGGUAGGAAGGGAAACUUGAUGAUCGGAGUAAUAAAAGAUGAAAAUAAAACUCGCAAGACUUUUCACUUCUUUUUUUUACUCUUUUUUUUUUGCUCACUUCUUUUUUUCUUUUUUUCGAAUUUUUUUCUGAAUUUUGAUUUUUUUUUUGUGAUACUCCAAUACAAUAGUAAGGUAAAUAUAAGGAAGGAAAAAAAAUUAAAUUAGAACUCAAAAAUUUUUUUUUGAUUUUUUUUUCACGUUCCGAACCUACUUGCGGCCUUGUUACGAACAUCGGUGCUCCUCGUUUUGCAAGCUCUAAUACCAAAUGAUAUGAUCCGGCUCGAUGAUGUAGAGUCGAGUCACUUGUUUGCCCGAGCGUCGACGAGAAGA